rnacentral:rRNA from 1 species
GGCCGCGGUAUCCUGACCGUGCAAAGGUAGCAUAAUCAUUUGUUCCUUAAUUAGGGACUUGUAUGAAUGGCCCCACGAGGGUUUAACUGUCUCUUACUUUUAAUCAGUGAAAUUGACCUUCCCGUGAAGAGGCGGGAAUAUAAAAAUAAGACGAGAAGACCCUAUGGAGCUUAAAUUUACGUGUUCAACAAAAUUCAAAUAUAACCCAAUAGGAAUAAUAAUAUUUUAACUGAACAACAAAUUUUGGUUGGGGUGACCUCGGAGUACAGCAAAACCUCCGAGCAAUUUAACCAAGACUCACUAGUCAAGGUCGCAUAACUUAUUGAUCCAAUCAUAUUGAUCAACGAAACAAGUUACCCUAGGGAUAACAGCGCAAUCCUAUUUGAGAGUCCGUAUCGACAAUAGGGUUUACGACCUCGAUGUUGGAUCAGGACACCCAAAUGGUGCAGCAGCU